GGGGCUGUACCGGAUUCGAUUGCCGGUGAGCGAAAGGAUAAGCAUACCGCAGACGGAGUGCCUGCGCAAAAACAUUCCACCUAAAUUUAAAUGCAAAUAAUAAUGCAUACGCUCUUGCAGCGUAACUUCGUUUUUUAAAACGAGCGUCGCGCCUAUUUUAUCCGUCGGAUAGGGUCGCGGCGUCAAUUAGACGGAAAAAUCUUCUUAAAAUCGGGAAGUGUUUUUUGGAGAUUAUUUAGCUUCCUGCGCCGUGUAAAGCGUGUUUACCCGCGGUAUACGGUUAAGAAAGUAGAUAAACUAAGUAUGUAGAAAGUUUUUUGGCAGCCGCGUAAGACGUCGGUUCAACUCCGACCAGCUCCACCA
rnacentral:tmRNA from 1 species